ACAAGGCUCUAAUGAGGAGAUUCUUGCAUGAUGAUGUACAUAAGCUUCUUUUAUAUGUUCAGUAACUUUGGGGUGGGAUGCAUUUAAUAACAAAGCACAAACGGCUUCUCCAAAAUUUUCAGUAAGAACUCCACUUUCAGAUUCUUAAUUAUUUAUUUCUCCUUUCGUCAUUCACUUAGAUACAAAGGGAGGAAAUUUUAUUUUCCUCAAUAGUGUCACCACAAACACACACCCUAAAUGCACCACACCACACACAAACUUCUAGCCAAUAGGGACUUGAUGAGAUUCUCUUCAAACCCAAUUAACACUACUUAAUUGGAUGAAGAGAACUUUAUAGAGAAACAUGGGGUACUCCUUCACUACAAGGAGCCAAGAAUACUUCUCUUGCAUAAUCAUAGCUCCUGUCAUCCCAGGGAAUAAAAGCCAAGGAUCAAUAAUCAAAGCUGGGUCUCCUAUAUAGGAUUGCCAAUUUUGGUUGGACAUAUUCCUAGAGGUUUCAUUACAUGACAAUCUUUAAUUAAAGAUUAAUCUUUAAUUCUUGGAGACUCCAGAAGACUCCUGGAGGAUUGGUAACCCUACUCUCAUGUAACCAUGCAAAUCAUUAUUAGUAUGCCACCAACCCAGACUCCAAAUGGUUGGUUUAAGAUACUAUGGGUUUAAUAUGAAAUGUCAUGGUAAUGUUUUCAAUAGGAUUUCCUACUUCUUCGUUCAGUGAAAACAUCUGGGCCACUUGAGUUCAGCUGCCCUAUCUGACCCUAAAUUUAUUUAUAUUUUUCAAUAGAAAUUGAGCACUGAAAAUGGAUGUUGAAUCAUAAAUUGCUGCUGGAAAGGCAGCUGGGCUCUUGGGAGAAAAGAAUGCCCCUACCUUUCAUGCCUCCUUCCCAUCUCUCCUUCCUCCACAUCAUUCCUGAUCUGCCUCUUCUGGGAGCUAGCUGGGUGGGUGAUGGUGCUGCUGCUACCUCCUUUAAUGGCACAGAGGUGGGAUUGACCUUCAGGUUGCUGUCACUGGCUUCUUGCUGUCCCACAUCUUAGGCCUAGAGUGCAGGCUGGAGUGAAUCCCGAUGCCCAGCUAGUUGUGCUAGAUUCUGUGCUGGGCUGGCAGUACUAACCCUGCUGGAUUUUCUAUUAGAAUUUCUGCCAAAUUAACAAGGGACUAUUCUGUCUAGAGCUGUUGCUGCUACUCAGUUUCAGAGCAAAACUGUGGUGCUUCUGAAGCCCAUGGUUGUGGGCCCUCUAUGAUUAGGGCAAUCUAGAAAUGUCAGGGUUGUCUCAUCCUUCCUUUACAUUCUUAAAAAAAAAAAAAAAAAAAAAAAAAAGAGUAUGUCUAGUCCUUUUCUUCAUGAAGCUUGAAAAUUUUAUUUUACAGGCCCAUGCAAAAAUUGCUAAGGGUGGCUCUGUCUAGUUCCACCCCCAAAUCCACAGCACUCCCAACUAUAUAUUGUUCACAUGGAAGGGCUUUUGCACGUAUUGGUGGAGGGUGAGGGAGCAUGAGACAGCCUCACUGGCCCCUCCACAGGCUGUUUGUUUCUUCUUUCCUCCUUCCUAAACCAUCCAGAGCAGACAAGCACCUGGCACGAUAUAUGUGAAUGAAAUCAAGGACUGGAAAUUUGUGUCCAACAUUGAUUGAGUCUUUGCUACUGAAAAUGCCAUGGUGAUCGAUGUGAUAUAAACCUAAUUAAUAAAGAGAAAAUUACAAUCUCAUGGACUUCUAGGAUUUAGAAUAAAAUAAUAAUGUUCCUAUUGCUAACACCUGGAUUACAUAUAUACUUCUUGCUCAGCUGAGCUCCAUAAACAUUAACCUCCAUAAGCAUCAAGGACAUUAAAAAAUAAAACAUGAUAGCUGAUAUCUCUGUCACAGUGUUUAUUUUGUUGAUAAGAACAACUAAUCAGAUUUAGUGAUGAUUUUUUCUUUCUGGACUCAUCUGUUUAGUUUGGAGUGCUUGUUCGUCUUUAUCCUGGAAUGUUACAAAAUACAAGAAAUAAAAUAAGUGUGCGUACAUGUAUUAUAUAUAAAUAAAUGGGGUGGGAAUGACCGUAACAAGAAUAUGCACAUCUCCUUUCUUAAGUGGGGUAGGAAUGGACAUAUGCAGGUCCCUCUCCCUUCUUCUAAAAAAAUAAAAUAAAAUAAAAUAAAAAAAUCUACAUUUGACAUAUGCAUGAGGUGUAAUAUUUGUGUUCAUUUGCCUUAUAUUUUCAAAUGCUGUUUAUGAGAAUAAAAGUACAUGGGAUCUGGUUUUCUUCUGAGAUUUCAAUUACCAAGUGGUGCAAAAUUAUGAAAUGUGGAAUUCUUAAACACCAGUUUAGUGAGCUUGCUGUUAUGGGCCCUCCAUAGAGUCUCUCCUCUUCAAGCCUCUUUUUUGAUCCUUUGUUUUCUCUGUGGGAGACCACUGAUCCAUCCUCUAAAGACAGUUGGCUGCUCUGAGGGUGAAGAAGAAGGUGGCUGAUCUGCCACCAUAAAUGUUACAGAUUAUUUUAAAUGUUUGUAUAUUGAUUUAUCAGCCGCUGGUAUUAUACCCAAGUCAUAUCUAUGAAUAAUUACACUGUAUAUGGUAACCCACAUAGCUCGCCACAACAAAACCAAGUUAGCACAGUAUAUUUCACAACACAUAACAUCUUUGUAACUUUUGUUAUGGCUGCUAGUUUAUCAAAUAAUGUUACAGUUAAAAUCUUAACAUUUAAAAGUACAGAGAUUAGUAUU